rnacentral:rRNA from 1 species
UACGUAGGGGCCGAGCGUUGUCCGGAGUUAUUGGGCGUAAAGCGCGCGCAGGCGGCCUCGCGCGCCCGACGUGAAAGCCCCCGGCUUAACCGGGGAGGGUCGUUGGGGACGGCGGGGCUUGAGGGCGGGAGAGGUCGGUGGAAUUCCCGGUGUAGAGGUGAAAUUCGUAGAUAUUGGGAAGAACACCGGUGGCGAAGGCGGCUCACUGGCUCGUAUCUGACGCUCAGGCGCGACAGCGUGGGGAUCAAACAGG